rnacentral:rRNA from 1 species
GGAAUAUUGGGCAAUGGGCGAAAGCCUGACCCAGCAACGCCGCGUGAAGGAAGAAGGUUUUCGGAUUGUAAACUUCUGUUAUAGGGGAAAAAGAAAGUGAUGGUACCCUAUGAGAAAGCUACGGCAAACUAUGUGCCAGCAGCCGCGGUAAUACAUAGGUAGCGAGCGUUAUCCGGAAUAACUGGGCGUAAAGGGAGUGUAGGUGGCGUUUCAAGUCUUAUGUGAAAGCCCUUGGCUUAACUGAGGGAUUGCAUAAGAAACUAGAAUGCUAGAGUGCGAGAGAGGCAAGUGGAAUUCCUAGUGUAGCGGUAGAAUGCGUAGAGAUUAGGAGGAACACCAGAGGCGAAGGCGACUUGCUGGUUCGCAACUGACACUGAGACUCGAAAGCGUGGGGAGCAAACA